rnacentral:rRNA from 1 species
AGAGUUUGAUCCUGGCUCAGGACGAACGCUGGCGGCGUGCUUAACACAUGCAAGUCGAACGGUAAGGCCCUUUCGGGGGUACACGAGUGGCGAACGGGUGAGUAACACGUGAGUAACCUGCCCUCAUCUCUGGGAUAACAGUCGGAAACGGUUGCUAAUACUGGAUAUGAGCUUGCAAGGCAUCUUGUGGGUUGGAAAGAUAUUUUUUGGUUGGGGAUGGACUCGCGGCCUAUCAGCUUGUUGGUGAGGUAGUGGCUCACCAAGGCUUCGACGGGUAGCCGGCCUGAGAGGGCGACCGGCCACAUUGGGACUGAGAUACGGCCCAAACUCCUACGGGAGGCAGCAGUGGGGAAUAUUGCACAAUGGACGGAAGUCUGAUGCAGCAACGCCGCGUGCGGGAUGACGGCCUUCGGGUUGUAAACCGCUUUCAAUUGUGACGAAGCUUUUUUGUGACGGUAGCAGUAGAAGAAGCACCGGCUAACUACGUGCCAGCAGCCGCGGUGAUACGUAGGGUGCGAGCGUUGUCCGGAUUUAUUGGGCGUAAAGAGCUUGUAGGCGGUUUGUCGCGUCGGGAGUGAAAACUUGGGGCUUAACCCUGAGCUUGCUUUCGAUACGGGCUGACUUGAGGGAGGUAGGGGAGAAUGGAAUUCCUGGUGGAGCGGUGGAAUGCGCAGAUAUCAGGAGGAACACCGGUGGCGAAGGCGGUUCUCUGGACCUUUCCUGACGCUGAGAAGCGAAAGCGUGGGGAGCGAACAGGCUUAGAUACCCUGGUAGUCCACGCCGUAAACGGUGGGUACUAGGUGUGGGGGACAUUCCACGUUCUCCGUGCCGUAGCUAACGCAUUAAGUACCCCGCCUGGGGAGUACGGCCGCAAGGCUAAAACUCAAAGGAAUUGACGGGGCCCCGCACAAGCGGCGGAGCAUGCGGAUUAAUUCGAUGCAACGCGAAGAACCUUA